rnacentral:rRNA from 1 species
GUCGAGAAUCUUUCACAAUGGGGGCAACCCUGAUGGAGCGACGCCGCGUGGAGGAUAAGGUCUUCGGAUUGUAAACUCCUGUCAUGCGUGAACAAGGUUGCUUGGUUAAUACCUGGGCAAAUUGAUGGUAACGCAAGAGGAAGAGACGGCUAACUCUGUGCCAGCAGCCGCGGUAAUACAGAGGUCUCAAGCGUUGUUCGGAAUCACUGGGCGUAAAGGGUGCGUAGGUGGCGUGGUAAGUCAGAUGUGAAAGCCCGGGGCUCAACCUCGGAACUGCAUCCGAGACUGCCAUGCUAGAGUACUGGAGAGGUGACUAGAAUUCUCGGUGUAGCAGUGAAAUGCGUAGAUAUCGAGAGGAAUACCAAAGGCGUAGGCAGGUCACUGGACAGUUACUGACACUGAGGCACGAAGGCCAGGGGAGCGAACGGGAUUAGAAACCCUGGUAGUCC